GCUUACGGCCAUACCAGCCUGGGUACGCCCGAUCUCGUCUGAUCUCGGAAGCUAAGCAGGGUAGGCCCUGGUUAGUACUUGGAUGGUAUACCGCCUAGGAAUACCAGGUGCUGUAAGCA
rnacentral:rRNA from 1 species